rnacentral:rRNA from 1 species
UACGUAGGGUGCGAGCGUUAAUCGGAAUUACUGGGCGUAAAGCGUGCGCAGGCGGUCUGUUAGGACCGAUGUGAAAUCCCCGGGCUUAACCUGGGAACUGCAUUGGUGACUGGCAGGCUUUGAGUGUGGCAGAGGGGGGUAGAAUUCCACGUGUAGCAGUGAAAUGCGUAGAGAUGUGGAGGAAUACCGAUGGCGAAGGCAGCCCCCUGGGCCAACACUGACGCUCAUGCACGAAAGCGUGGGGAGCAAACAGG